rnacentral:rRNA from 1 species
CAAGUCGUACGGAGGUAGCAAUACCUCAGUGGCGAACGGGUGAGUAAUGAAUCGCUAACGUGCCCCGGACUCCGGGAUAGCUACCCGAAAGGGUAGGUAAUACCGGGUGACAUAACUUUCUCGCAUGGGAGAGUUCUCAAAGGUCCGCCGGUCUGGGAGCGGGCGAUUUCGUAUCAGCUAGUUGGUAGGGUAACGGCCUACCAAGGCGACGACGCGUAGCCGGACUGAGAGGUUGGCCGGCCACAUUGGGACUGAGACACUGCCCAGACUCCUACGGGGGGCUGCAGUAACGAAUCUUCCGCAAUGCACGCAAGUGUGACGGAGCGACGCCGCGUGUGGGACGAAGUUCUUCGGAAUGUAAACCACUGUCAGGGGAAAGAAAGUUCUGAUCUACCCCAGAGGAAGAGGCGGCUAACUCUGUGCCAGCAGCCGCGGUAAUACAGAGGCCUCGAGCGUUAGGCGGAAUCACUGGGCUUAAAGCGUGUGUAGGCGGACUUCUAAGUGCCUUGUGAAAUCCCACGGCUCACCCGUGGAACUGCUGGGCAUACUGGUCGUCUUGAGCCACCUAGGGGCUGCCGGAACAAGUGGUGGAGCGGUGAAAUGCGUAGAUAUCAUUUGGAACGCCAACGGUGAAAACAGGCAGCUGGGGGUGUGCUGACGCUGAGACACGAAAGCCAGGGGAGCGAACGGGAUUAGAUACCCCGGUAGUCCUGGCCGUAAACGAUGUCGACUAGAUCGUGGCGCCCGCUGACGGGCUCACGGUCGAAGCAAAAGUGCUAAGUCGACCGCCUGGGAAGUACGGUCGCAAGGCUAAAACUCAAAGGAAUUGACGGGGGCUCACACAAGCGGUGGAGCAUGUGGUUCAAUUCGAAGCAACGCGCAGAACCUUACCUGGGCUUGA